rnacentral:rRNA from 1 species
UACGAAGGGGGCUAGCGUUGCUCGGAAUCACUGGGCGUAAAGGGUGCGUAGGCGGGUCUUUAAGUCAGGGGUGAAAUCCUGGAGCUCAACUCCAGAACUGCCUUCGAUACUGGCGAUCUAGAGUCCGGAAGAGGUGAGUGGAACUCCUAGUGUAGAGGUGGAAUUCGUAGAUAUUAGGAAGAACACCAGUGGCGAAGGCGGCUCACUGGUCCGGUACUGACGCUGAUGUGCGAAAGCGUGGGGAGCAAACAGG